GCUUGGGCUCUUUGCUGACGAGUGGCGGACGGGUGAGUAAUGUCUGGGAAACUGCCUGAUGGAGGGGGAUAACUACUGGAAACGGUAGCUAAUACCGCAUAACGUCGCAAGACCAAAGAGGGGGACCUUCGGGCCUCUUGCCAUCGGAUGUGCCCAGAUGGGAUUAGCUUGUUGGUGGGGUAACGGCUCACCAAGGCGACGAUCCCUAGCUGGUCUGAGAGGAUGACCAGCCACACUGGAACUGAGACACGGUCCAGACUCCUACGGGAGGCAGCAGUGGGGAAUAUUGCACAAUGGGCGCAAGCCUGAUGCAGCCAUGCCGCGUGUAUGAAGAAGGCCUUCGGGUUGUAAAGUACUUUCAGCGGGGAGGAAGGGAGUAAAGUUAAUACCUUUGCUCAUUGACGUUACCCGCAGAAGAAGCACCGGCUAACUCCGUGCCAGCAGCCGCGGUAAUACGGAGGGUGCAAGC
rnacentral:rRNA from 1 species